rnacentral:rRNA from 1 species
GAUGAACGCUGGUGGCGUGCCUAACACAUGCAAGUCGAGCGAUUCUCUUCGGAGAAGAGCGGCGGACGGGUGAGUAACGCGUGGGUAACCUGCCCUGUACACACGGAUAACAUACCGAAAGGUAUGCUAAUACGAGAUAACAUGCUUUUAUCGCAUGGUAGAAGUAUCAAAGCUUUUGCGGUACAGGAUGGACCCGCGUCUGAUUAGCUAGUUGGUGAGGUAACGGCUCACCACGGCGACGAUCAGUAGCCGACCUGAGAGGGUGAUCGGCCACAUUGGAACUGAGACACGGUCCAAACUCCUACGGGAGGCAGCAGUGGGGAAUAUUGCACAAUGGGCGAAAGCCUGAUGCAGCAACGCCGCGUGAGCGAUGAAGGCCUUCGGGUCGUAAAGCUCUGUCCUCAAGGAAGAUAAUGACGGUACUUGAGGAGGAAGCCCCGGCUAACUACGUG